GGCAAACAGGAUCUGUCUCUGGGAGCUUACACAUCAGGCUUGCUUUCAGCAGCCUGUCUGCCCUGGUAGUCCCCACUGAUAAUACAAUACCUGAAAGGAAGUUUUGUGCAGGUGGAGGUGCUUAGAAAAGCCCUGGGUUAUCACCAGGAGAGGCUUUGAAUAACCCAGACAGAAGUUUGACAUCUUUCUUCUCCUGGCCACAAUGCAGCUUGUGGCUGGGGAAGAGUGCUGAGACCUCUCAGCUGGAGGGGGAUGUUUUUGGAGACCUUCUGAACCUCAACAACUCUGCCCAGAGAUGUAGAGGCUGGUAAGAGAAGCCAAAAAGUGAAAGCUGCCUUCCUUCUGGUCUCCUCCUGAUUGUCCCUUGUGUGGUGCUGCAUCUUAUGAAGCUUUCAAGGAAGCCAGCUUGCUGAGACCUGGAUUUCUGACAGAGAAGAAAAAAUUUGAAGUAGCAGAACAGCUCUUGAGCUGGCAAAUAUAAGAACGCUUCCAUUAUUUUGGACAGUGCAGGGUUUUCUCAGGAUGUGGAUGUCUGAACAGCAAGAAAAGACACUGUCACAUUUGUUCCUGCUGAUUCUGACCUAGGCUUUGUCCAGCUAGUUCCAUGAUCAUGUUUUCAGUGGCAAGCACAAAUACCACCAUUGAUUCAUUGGUGUUAAGGACACAUCACUAGCAGCAAAAAAGGAGAUGGGUGCUCAGAGAGGAUGCAGGUGUUCUUCCACACAUCUUAUCCCUUGUCCUUUCACAUUGCUUCAUCUUCCAUAAAACAAAAACAACAGCUGAAUAUUGCAGCUUUCUGAAGGUACAAGUAUGUGGCUCCUCCAGUGCCUCACCUAGCUGUAGAGCUGCUGACCCAGCAAGACAAACAAGGCCACAUCUGAUUCUGAGGCACAGGGAGGAAAAUGCUAACGGCUGAGUUUACCUGACCCUUCCUCUUACCAAGGAAGAUUUCAAGUUGUUGAAAGUGUUGACAAGUGGUGUGGGCAGAAAGUUCCUAUGCUGGGUGUCUGUGCGUGCCCUGUACUGUCUCAGGAAAGUUUCAGCUAAAACAGUAAUUUCUCCAUUCCUAAGAGAAACAAGCUUUAUUAGCAUAACAAGAAAACCACAUCCUCUUUGAUUAAGAUUUUCUAACACAGCUAUGCCCUGACUUCAGACAUUAAGUUAGCCUAUUACCCUCUGCUCCAUGUUGAGAUUAGAAGCCAUUAAACAAAAACAAAGAGUGACGCUGUUUUGGUUCCUCCAUUUCCUUCAGCACAGGCAUGCAAUGUCCCCAAAGUAUGUGACAUUCUUGAAUGGAAUAGAGCAUUCCUGGGAAUUGUUCCUCCCAGUUGUAGGAUGCUAGUGUGUAACUGGCAUUAUUUAACUUGUUUUAUGUAUUAUUGUAAUUAUUACAUGCUGUUACAUUAAUCAUGAUAAUAAUGUUAGGGAGACGUUGUCCUUGGUGUGUUCAGGGGUUCUGGUAUUUGUGUUCCAGCACGGGAUUUGGGUGCACAUUAGCAGAGCAGCUGAAAGGGUUAAAACAACAAUCAGGACCUAUAGGGAAAAAGUCAGUGGUGGCUACUGGGAGAAGAGCUUAACAAACAGGAUCUGAAAAGAGAGCAGGAUGGGGCGUGGGAGGGACAGCACGGCAUGAUGAGGUGGCAAAACGAGAGAGGAGAUUGAACCUGAGAUUUAACCUGCCCCUGCUUGCUGUACCACCGGAGGGGUCAGCGCGGCUCAUUCCCCACCGCACGG